UUGGGACAGCUUAGUCGGCAGAGCAUGAGACUCUUAAUUUCAGGAUUGUGGGUUUGAGUCCCACAUGGGGCAAAA